rnacentral:rRNA from 1 species
GACGAACGCUGGCGGCGUGCUUAACACAUGCAAGUCGAACGGAAAGGCCCUGCUUUUGUGGGGUGCUCGAGUGGCGAACGGGUGAGUAACACGUGAGUAACCUGCCCUUGACUUUGGGAUAACUUCAGAAAACUGGGGCUAAUACCGGAUAGGAGCUCCUGCUGCAUGGUGGUGGUUGGAAAGUUUCGGCGGUUGGGGAUGGACUCGCGGCUUAUCAGCUUGUUGGUGGGGUAGUGGCUUACCAAGGCUUUGACGGGUAGCCGGCCUGAGAGGGUGACCGGCCACAUUGGGACUGAGAUACGGCCCAGACUCCUACGGGAGGCAGCAGUGGGGAAUAUUGCACAAUGGGCGGAAGCCUGAUGCAGCAACGCCGCGUGCGGGAUGACGGCCUUCGGGUUGUAAACCGCUUUCGCCUGUGACGAAGCGUGAGUGACGGUAAUGGGUAAAGAAGCACCGGCUAACUACGUG